rnacentral:rRNA from 1 species
GACGAACGCUGGCGGCGUGCUUAACACAUGCAAGUCGAGCGAGGCCCUCCUUCGGGGGGUGCCCUAGCGGCGAACGGGUGAGUAACACGUGGGCAACCUGCCCUCAGCUCUGGGAUAACUCCAAGAAAUUGGUGCUAAUACCGGAUGUGACCGCUGACCGCAUGGUCUGGUGGUGGAAAGAUUUAUCGGCUGAGGAUGGGCCCGCGGCCUAUCAGCUUGUUGGUGGGGUCACGGCCCACCAAGGCGACGACGGGUAGCCGGCCUGAGAGGGUGACCGGCCACACUGGGACUGAGACACGGCCCAGACUCCUACGGGAGGCAGCAGUGGGGAAUAUUGCGCAAUGGGCGAAAGCCUGACGCAGCGACGCCGCGUGAGGGAUGACGGCCUCGGUU